CUGUGUCCGAGAAGCAGCUGUGAAGCCCAUUCUCAGGGAAGGAGGCUGUUCUUAGGAGGGGAAGAAUCUCACCCGUUGUCUUUGUCUGCCCUGCAAGCGGUGUCACAGUGUCCUCUUUCACUGCUGCAACAGUGAGCGUAUUAAGAGAGAGAGAGAGAGAGACUGGUGCUGUCUUCCAUGGUGAUGGAGCCCACAAACUAUGUUCCACAAACUCCGUUCCACAUUCUUUGACUCCACCUAUGGGCAGCGUGGAUGGUGAAUGCUGGCUGAUGGCACCCUCACCCAAUUGCAGGAAGCCUGCUGCUCAGCAGCUUGAGUGGUCCCAGAAGAGCUGGAGGAACACUCAGUGCAGCAGUCCUGACAUGAAUUGUCCAAAACGGCUAACUUGCCUGAGUAUAAUGACUUCA
ensembl:lncRNA